rnacentral:tRNA from 1 species
GAGGGCAUAGCUCAAGUGGUAGAGCACAUGCUUAGCAUGCAGGAGGUCCUGGGUUCAAUUCCUAGUGCCACCU